CAGCCGAGAGCACCGCCGCCCGGAGGUCUUCCUCCUCUUGGUCUCACCGGACGCUCGGGUGCUCCUUCCUUCUCCAUCGGCACAGCUGGUUUCGAGCGUCUUCCUCCUCCGACUACUUUGCCUCGACGGCGCGUCGGCCUCGCACGCCCAUCUCGCGGUCCGGCACCUAACGAGGCCGGUUCCUCGAACUGGAGUGCCUCCGUCGGCGAGGCCGGUACAGGCAGCGGAGGGAUCGGCAGUUCUACAUUCGUGGGGUUUAACCUCAUCAAUGGCAGCGGCUGGAUCUCG
rnacentral:lncRNA from 1 species